CAGGACGAACGCUGGCGGCGUGCCUAACACAUGCAAGUCGAACGGAGUAAGAAUUCGGUUUUUACUUAGUGGCGAACGGGUGAGUAACGCGUGAACAACCUGCCUUCCUGAGGGGGAUAACACCUGGAAACAAGUGCUAAUACCGCAUAAGACCACAGAGCCGCAUGGCCCAGGGGUCAAAGGAGAGAUCCGCAGGAAGAGGGGUUCGCGUCCCAUUAGCUAGUUGGCGGGGCAAUGGCCCACCAAGGCGACGAUGGGUAGCCGAGCUGAGAGGCUGAUCGGCCACACUGGAACUGAGACACGGUCCAGACUCCUACGGGAGGCAGCAGUGGGGAAUAUUGGGCAAUGGGCGCAAGCCUGAACCCCAGCAACGCCGCGUGAGGGAAGAAGGUCUUCGGAUUGUAAACCUCUGUCCUAUGUGACGAAGGAAGUGACGGUAGCAUAGGAGGAAGCCCCGGCUAACUACGUGCCAGCCGCCGC
rnacentral:rRNA from 1 species